GGUCCUAGAGCCCUGGCUUUGGGGCAAUAUUUCAUUUUGUUUCUUCAGUGGUGGGGUAGAAGAAGGGGCCCAGUGGCGCAAAUAACCCAUCACUUUAUGGUAUUAAAAAAUGCCUUGCAUGUUCUUAUAUAAAUGGUGCUUUUGUGCUUAUCGCGAAAUUAGGCUCAACAGGUUUUUAACAGGUUCUUAUUUUCUAAAGAAAAAGCGACUCGUUUUCGGUUGGUGUAGAUACAGUUAUUUCAUGUCUUCAUACAGAAUUUUGUUUAUUAUGUUAUGACAUGGCCAAGAUUCUGGGUCAUUUUCAUUACUUUGAAGAAUUUAUUUUCUUUGAUUUAUAAAUUUUUAGUUUCAAAUCUCAGAGUGAUAAAAAUAAAGUAAGAACCUGUUUGAAAUUUUAGCCUAAACAGUUUCUUGUAUAAAGGGGGCACUGUGAAGGGGGUUUAUAUAAGCAAUUUUAGCCUAACGGGUUCUUAAAGUCUUCGGUUCUUAUAUGUGGGGUUUUGCCAGGGCGCUUAUAUAUCAAACGAUAUAUAAGUGCCCUGGGUUUUGCUGUAGCGAAGCAGCGCUGAGUACACGCGCAAAAAUUGAGAAAAUCGACAACUUGUUCCAGGUUGACAUCAACAAGCGUGAACAAGGUUGUGCGGCCCACUAUGAACAGUAUUUUCAACAUGUUACAGCAUUGUUCAACUAUAACAACUUGGAACAACAUGGUUGACAACCUGUUCAUAGUUGGACGCACAACAUUGUUCACGCCUGUCGAUAAUACUCGAUAUCAACUUGGAACAACCUGUGCGUUUUUAGCCGUGUACAGCUCUCUAGAUUAUAAGUUACAGUAUUCAAUGCUGUACUGACUACUGGGAAAUCCAAAACAGGAAAAUUUACGAAUUUGUAAAUGGGGACCCAACUUUAGGUGAUGUGGAAUUGCAAUGGCAGAACUUUUCGGAGAACCUGGGUCCUUAUCGAGAAACUGUUCGUACGUUGUUGAUUUCUUUUUUUUUCUUUUUUUUUUUAUUUCGUGCAUUUUCAGAUACAAUUUUUGAUACAUUCCAUCUUGAAAGAUUGAAUAUUAGGCCAUAUAAAAUUCGAU